rnacentral:rRNA from 1 species
CCAACCUUGAAAUACCACCCUUUAAUGUUUGAUGUUCUAACGUUGGCCCCUGACCGGGGUUGCGGACAGUGUCUGGUGGGUAGUUUGACUGGGGCGGUCUCCUCCCAAAGCGUAACGGAGGAGCACGAAGGUUAGCUAAUCCUGGUCGGACAUCAGGAGGUUAGUGCAAUGGCAUAAGCUAGCUUGACUGCGAGCGUGACGGCGCGAGCAGGUGCGAAAGCAGGUCAUAGUGAUCCGGUGGUUCUGAAUGGAAGGGCCAUCGCUCAACGGAUAAAAGGUACUCCGGGGAUAACAGGCUGAUACCGCCCAAGAGUUCAUAUCGACGGCGGUGUUUGGCACCUCGAUGUCGGCUCAUCACAUCCUGGGGCUGAAGUAGGUCCCAAGGGUAUGGCUGUUCGCCAUUUAAAGUGGUACGCGAGCUGGGUUUAGAACGUCGUGAGACAGUUCGGUCCCUAUCUGCCGUGGGCGCUGGAGAAUUGAGGGGGGCUGCUCCUAGUACGAGAGGACCGGAGUGGACGCAUCACUGGUGUUCGGGUUGUCAUGCCAAUGGCACUGCCCGGUAGCUAAAUGCGGAAGAGAUAAGUGCUGAAAGCAUCUAAGCACGAAACUUGCCCCG